GGGAGGGGCACAGGGGGCUGAGGAGUGCUGGGUCGGGCUUCCAGCUCCCUACAACGCAGACCAGUACUGGAGUUCGUGGUGCUGGAAGACCGCCGCCCGACUCUGGGCCCCGGGUAGGAAACAACAAUUUCGGACCUCCUGGGGUCUAUGCUAGGUAUGAGGUGUAUCUUUGCCCUCCAUCAAGUAGCAAAGAUGGACAUGUAAACAAAUUUCGACACUGUGAUGACUGCCACAAAAAGCAGCAUUAUGAGGUUGAAUGUAAAAGGAUAACCUUAGCGGCGGCGGGGGCCGGAGGAUGAAGGAAGGCUUCCUGAGGUAGGCGCUGGUUGAAACUGAAGUUGGAGAGAGCAAGUGGCAUUUGCUGAAGUGCAUUUCCGGUAGAAAACUCCAGUGGUCCCUCACCUGACUGAGUGGCGCAGUCAGAGAUAAAUGGAACAGAGUCUACAAAUAAACAUUUUAUAAAGAUGAUCCUUCAAUACAUAUUCUACAGCCCAGUUAAAAUGUGAGAGGCCAUGAUCUACAGACAGCCAUUUAUAAAGGUGGAUCAGGGCCGGACACGGUGGCUCAACGUCUGUAAUCCCGGCACUGUGGGAGGCCAAAGCGGGAGGAUCGCUUGAGCCCAGGAGUUCGAGACCAACCUGGCCAACAUGGUGAGACCCCAUCUUUACAAAAAAAUAUAUAUAUCCAGGCAUAGUGGUGUGCACCUGUGGUCCUGUGGUCCCAGCUACUCAGGAAGCUGAGGCAGUUGAGGCUGCAGUGAGCCACGUUCUGGCCACUACACUCCAGCCUGGGCAUCAAAGUGACAAGACCAAAAAAAAAAAAAAAUGUGGAUUGGAAGGAGGCAAGAAAGAAGUCAGGAAAAGGGUGGAAUGUAAGUCCCUAAGGACACAAUCUUACUCACAAUUGUAUCUCCAACAUUUGGCAUAAUGCCUAAUACGUAAGUAUUUUAUGAAUUAAUUAAACGAGAACACAAGCCUAAAUUAAGGCAAUGGCAAUGGAGAAGAAGAAACCAACUUGAGAAAUAUUUAAAGGUCAUUGUCAAUGGAACUUAGUGACUUUAAUGGUUAAUUUUAUCUAUCAACUUGGCUAGGCGAUGCUACCCAUGUUACUCAGUUUUUGGUCAAACACUAGUCUAGUUGUUGCUAUGAAUUGUAUUUGUUAGAUGUGAUUAACAUUUAAAUCAGCAGACUUUGAUUAAAGUACAUUACCCUCUAUAAUGAGGGUGGGCCGCAUCCGGUCAGUUCAAAUUAAAACGAGACCCUUAAGAAGAAGCAAUUCAGCCUCCAGACUGCAGCGUCAAAUCUCCCUGGGUCUCCAGGCUGUUUGUCUGCCCUGCAGAUUUCAGACUUGCCAGCUCCCAGAAUAAUGUGAGCCAAUUCCUUAAAAUAAAUCUCUUUCUGCAUAUACA
rnacentral:lncRNA from 1 species